rnacentral:rRNA from 1 species
AUACGGAGGGUGCAAGCGUUAUUCGGAAUCAUUGGGCGUAAAGGGCACGCAGGCGGUUCUGUCAGUCAGAUGUGAAAGCCCGGGGCUUAACCCCGGACGUGCAUUUGAAACAGCAGGACUUGAGUAUGGUAGAGGAAAGCGGAAUUCCUGGUGUAGAGGUGAAAUUCGUAGAUAUCAGGAGGAACACCGGUGGCGAAGGCGGCUUUCUGGACCAAAACUGACGCUGAGGUGCGAAGGCGUGGGUAGCGAACAGGAUUAGAUACCCUAGUAGUCC